CCUACGGGAGGCAGCAGUGAGGAAUAUUGGUCAAUGGGCGGGAGCCUGAACCAGCCAAGUCGCGUGAGGGAAGACGGUCCUACGGAUUGUAAACCUCUUUUGCCGGGGAGCAACGGGGUCCUUGCGAGGGCCCGAUGAGAGUACCCGGAGAAAAAGCAUCGGCAAACUCCGUGCCAGCAGCCGCGGUAAUACGGGGGAUGCGAGCGUUAUCCGGAUUGAUGGGUUUAAAGGGGUGCGUAGGCGGGCUGUUAAGUCAGCGGUAAAAUGUCGGGGCUCAACCCCGGCCUGCCGUUGAAACUGGCGGCCUCGAGUGGACGAGAGGUAUGCGGAAUGCGUGGUGUAGCGGUGAAAUGCAUAGAUAUCACGCAGAACUCCGAUUGCGAAGGCAGCAUACCGGCGCCCGACUGACGCUGAGGCACGAAAGCGUGGGUAUCGAACAGGAUUAGAUACCCUAGUAGUC
rnacentral:rRNA from 1 species